GUGGGGAAUCUUAGACAAUGGGGGAAACCCUGAUCUAGCCAUGCCGCGUGAGCGAUGAAGGCCUUGGGGUUGUAAAGCUCUUUCAGCUGGGAAGAUAAUGACGGUACCAGCAGAAGAAGCCCCGGCUAACUCCGUGCCAGCAGCCGCGGUAAUACGGAGGGGGCUAGCGUUGUUCGGAAUUACUGGGCGUAAAGCGCGCGUAGGCGGACCAGAAAGUUGGAGGUGAAAUCCCAGGGCUCAACCUUGGAACUGCCUUCAAAACUCCUGGUCUGGAGUUCGAGAGAGGUGAGUGGAACUCCGAGUGUAGAGGUGAAAUUCGUAGAUAUUCGGAGGAACACCAGUGGCGAAGGCGGCUCACUGGCUCGAUACUGACGCUGAGGUGCGAAAGCGUGGGGAGCAAACAGGAUUAGAUACCCGAGUAGUCC
rnacentral:rRNA from 1 species